AGUAGCGUGUCGCGUUGAUGUGGAGAAAUGAAACUAUAACCUAACCUGAAUCAAUCAUAGCCGGGGUGUCCACGGUCGGCUUGUCAAAUCCGUGACAAUUAUAAUUCAACGCGACGUUAUAUUUUU
rnacentral:telomerase_RNA from 3 species